CAAGUAUCGAUAAUAGGUAACUUACCCUGAAUACAUAGGGGUNAAGUGGCGAACGCGGGGAACUGAAACAUCUAAGUACCCGUAGAAAGGACAUCAACCGAGACUCCGGAAG
rnacentral:rRNA from 1 species